ACAUAGGUUAACGAGGCGAACCGGGGGAACUGAAACAUCUAAGUACCCCGAGGAAAAGAAAUCAACCGAGAUUCCCCCAGUAGCGGCGAGCGAACGGGGAGCAGCCCAGAGUCUGAAUCAGCUUGUGUGUUAGUGGAACGGUCUGGAAAGUCCGACGGUACAGGGUGAUAGUCCCGUACACCAAAAUGCACAGGCUGUGAACUCGAAGAGUAGGGCGGGACACGUGGUAUCCUGUCUGAAUAUGGGGGGACCAUCCUCCAAGGCUAAAUACUCCUGACUGACCGAUAGUGAACCAGUACCGUGAGGGAAAGGCGAAAAGAACCCCGGCGAGGGGAGUGAAAAAGAACCUGAAACCGUGUACGUACAAGCAGUGGGAGCACCUUCGGGUGUGACUGCGUACCUUUUGUAUAAUGGGUCAGCGACUUAUAUUCUGUAGCAAGGUUAACCGUAUAGGGGAGCCGCAGGGAAACCGAGUCUUAACUGGGCGUUAAGUUGCAGGGUAUAGACCCGAAACCCGGUGAUCUAGCCAUGGGCAGGUUGAAGGUUGGGUAACACUAACUGGAGGACCGAACCGACUAAUGUUGAAAAAUUAGCGGAUGACUUGUGGCUGGGGGUGAAAGGCCAAUCAAACCGGGAGAUAGCUGGUUCUCCCCGAAAGCUAUUUAGGUAGCGCCUCGUGAACUCAUCUUCGGGGGUAGAGCACUGUUUCGGCUAGGGGGUCAUCCCGACUUACCAACCCGAUGCAAACUACGAAUACCGAAGAAUGUUAUCACGGGAGACACACGGCGGGUGCUAACGUCCGUCGUGAAGAGGGAAACAACCCAGACCGCCAGCUAAGGUCCCAAAGUCAUGGUUAAGUGGGAAACGAUGUGGGAAGGCACAGACAGCCAGGAUGUUGGCUUAGAAGCAGCCAUCAUUUAAAGAAAGCGUAAUAGCUCACUGGUCGAGUCGGCCUGCGCGGAAGAUGUAACGGGGCUAAACCAUGCACCGAAGCUGCGGCAGCGACACUAUGUGUUGUUGGGUAGGGGAGCGUUCUGUAAGCCUGCGAAGGUGUGCUGUGAGGCAUGCUGGAGGUAUCAGAAGUGCGAAUGCUGACAUAAGUAACGAUAAAGCGGGUGAAAAGCCCGCUCGCCGGAAGACCAAGGGUUCCUGUCCAACGUUAAUCGGGGCAGGGUGAGUCGACCCCUAAGGCGAGGCCGAAAGGCGUAGUCGAUGGGAAACAGGUUAAUAUUCCUGUACUUGGUGUUACUGCGAAGGGGGGACGGAGAAGGCUAUGUUAGCCGGGCGACGGUUGUCCCGGUUUAAGCAUGUAGGCUGAUUGUCCAGGCAAAUCCGGAUAAUCAAGGCUGAGGUGUGAUGACGAGGCACUACGGUGCUGAAGUAACAAAUGCCCUGCUUCCAGGAAAAGCCUCUAAGCAUCAGGUAACAUCAAAUCGUACCCCAAACCGACACAGGUGGUCAGGUAGAGAAUACCAAGGCGCUUGAGAGAACUCGGGUGAAGGAACUAGGCAAAAUGGUGCCGUAACUUCGGGAGAAGGCACGCUGGUGUGUAGGUGAAGUCCCUGCGGAUGGAGCUGAGACCAGUCGAAGAUACCAGCUGGCUGCAACUGUUUAUUAAAAACACAGCACUGUGCAAACACGAAAGUGGACGUAUACGGUGUGACGCCUGCCCGGUGCCGGAAGGUUAAUUGAUGGGGUUAUCCGUAAGGAGAAGCUCUUGAUCGAAGCCCCGGUAAACGGCGGCCGUAACUAUAACGGUCCUAAGGUAGCGAAAUUCCUUGUCGGGUAAGUUCCGACCUGCACGAAUGGCGUAAUGAUGGCCAGGCUGUCUCCACCCGAGACUCAGUGAAAUUGAACUCGCUGUGAAGAUGCAGUGUACCCGCGGCAAGACGGAAAGACCCCGUGAACCUUUACUAUAGCUUGACACUGAACAUUGAGCCUUGAUGUGUAGGAUAGGUGGGAGGCUUUGAAGCGUGGACGCCAGUCUGCGUGGAGCCAACCUUGAAAUACCACCCUUUAAUGUUUGAUGUUCUAACGUUGGCCCCUGACCGGGGUUGCGGACAGUGUCUGGUGGGUAGUUUGACUGGGGCGGUCUCCUCCCAAAGCGUAACGGAGGAGCACGAAGGUUAGCUAAUCCUGGUCGGACAUCAGGAGGUUAGUGCAAUGGCAUAAGCUAGCUUGACUGCGAGCGUGACGGCGCGAGCAGGUGCGAAAGCAGGUCAUAGUGAUCCGGUGGUUCUGAAUGGAAGGGCCAUCGCUCAACGGAUAAAAGGUACUCCGGGGAUAACAGGCUGAUACCGCCCAAGAGUUCAUAUCGACGGCGGUGUUUGGCACCUCGAUGUCGGCUCAUCACAUCCUGGGGCUGAAGUAGGUCCCAAGGGUAUGGCUGUUCGCCAUUUAAAGUGGUACGCGAGCUGGGUUUAGAACGUCGUGAGACAGUUCGGUCCCUAUCUGCCGUGGGCGCUGGAGAAUUGAGGGGGGCUGCUCCUAGUACGAGAGGACCGGAGUGGACGCAUCACUGGUGUUCGGGUUGUCAUGCCAAUGGCACUGCCCGGUAGCUAAAUGCGGAAGAGAUAAGUGCUGAAAGCAUCUAAGCACGAAACUUGCCCCGAGAUGAGUUCUCCCUGAGACUUUAAGUCUCCUGAAGGAACGUUGAAGACGACGACGUUGAUAGGCCGGGUGUGUAAGCGCAGCGAUGCGUUGAGCUAACCGGUACUAAUGAACCGUGAGGCUUAACCUUACAACGCCGAAG
rnacentral:rRNA from 1 species